GACAGAGGGUGCAAACGUUGUUCGGAAUUACUGGGCGUAAAGCGAGUGUAGGCGGUUUGGCAAGUCGGAUGUGAAAGCCCCGGGCUCAACCCGGGAAGUGCACUCGAUACUCCCAAGCUAGAGUAUCGGAGAGGUUGGCGGAAUUCUCGGUGUAGAGGUGAAAUUCGUAGAUAUCGAGAGGAACACCGGCGGCGAAGGCGGCCAACUGGACGAAUACUGACGCUGAGACUCGAAAGCGUGGGGAGCGAACAGG
rnacentral:rRNA from 1 species